UCCGAGUUGACCCCGGCAGUCUCCUACGAGUCCCCGGCAUUACCCGCUGGCAACAUAGGACAAGGGUUGCGCUCGUUGCGGGACUUAACCCAACAUCUCACGACACGAGCUGACGACAGCCUUGCACCACCUGUGUAGGGCCCAAAAGGACACCGCAUCUCUACGGCUUUUCCCUACAUGUCAAACCCAGGUAAGGUUCUUCGCGUUGCCUCGAAUUAAGCAACAUGCUCCGCUGCUUGUGCGGGCCCCCGUCAAUUCCUUUGAGUUUUAGCCUUGCGGCCGUACUCCCCAGGCGGGGCACUUCAUGCGUUAGCGCCGGUACCCCGGGGGUCGCUCCCCAAAGCACCUAGUGCCCAUCGUUUACGGCGUGGACUAC
rnacentral:misc_RNA from 1 species